rnacentral:rRNA from 1 species
AGUGAACGCUGGCGGUAGGCCUAACACAUGCAAGUCGAACGGCAGCACAGUAAGAGCUUGCUCUUACGGGUGGCGAGUGGCGGACGGGUGAGGAAUACAUCGGAAUCUACUUUUUCGUGGGGGAUAACGUAGGGAAACUUACGCUAAUACCGCAUACGACCUACGGGUGAAAGCAGGGGAUCUUCGGACCUUGCGCGAUUGAAUGAGCCGAUGUCGGAUUAGCUAGUUGGCGGGGUAAAGGCCCACCAAGGCGACGAUCCGUAGCUGGUCUGAGAGGAUGAUCAGCCACACUGGAACUGAGACACGGUACAGACUCCUACGGGAGGCAGCAGUGGGGAAUAUUGGACAAUGGGCGCAAGCCUGAUCCAGCCAUACAGCGUGGGUGAAGAAGGCCUUCGGGUUGGAAAGCCCUUUUGUUGGGAAAGAAAAGCAGCAGGUUAAUACCCCGCUGUUCUGACGGUACCCAAAGAAUAAGCACCGGCUAACUGCGU